UACGAGGGGGGCGAGCGUUGUUCGGAAUUAUUGGGCGUAAAGGGUGCGUAGGCGGUUUGGUAAGUCUUGUGUGAAAUCUCCAGGCUCAACUUGGAGUCUGCACGAGAAACUGCCGGGCUUGAGUGUGGGAGAGGUGAGUGGAAUUCCUGGUGUAGCGGUGAAAUGCGUAGAUAUCAGGAAGAACACCGGUGGCGAAGGCGGCCCACUGGAUCGGCACUGACGCUGAGGUGCGAAAGCGUGGGGAGUAAACAGG
rnacentral:rRNA from 1 species